CAGCAUGACAAAGGUCAGGAAGCGCUGCCUAAGUCAUCUGGUGAAAGAGGAUGCAAAUGCCACCAAGGAGCUCCAAUUCUGGGCCCCAAAGAGUCAUUAACUGCUGUUCCCUGGAUCCCAGAGUUUUGACUGCACAGAACAGCAAAGAAGAAACCAGAAGUCGGGCUCCAUCCAGUUCCUCACCUGGGUGGAUGAGGCCAGCACCUGAUUGUUUUAGGCUGAGUAGGCUCCUGAAGCUGAGAGCUGAUAAGAGACAUUGAUCUAGGGUUUGCAACUCUCUCUGGUUUCCCGAAGCUGUUUCUCACAGGGCAGGGAGAAGAGGAAUCUGCCAGCCUUUGGAUCAGCGUCUGUCCCAUGGGCAAAGCCUUUAUCCAGCAAGAAGCCAGCUGUGUGGCAAGCAAUGGAGCCACAAUGGGGACAAAGGAUGGAGUUAAGAGCAUUCGUUUUAAAGUCACACAGGACGAAUUCAACUGUCAGACCAGCCAGGUAGCCUCCAGUAAGCUACUUGGACUCUUAAGACUUGAAAGGGCAGCCCUAAAGCCUUCCUCUCACAGGAUUGUUGUAAAGAAUGAAGAAAAUUAUGGCCUGAAACAGUGGCUCAUGCCUAUAAUCCCAGCACUUUGGGAAGCUGAGUCAGGAGUAUCACUUGAGGCGAGGAGUUGGAGACCAGCCUGGGCAACAUAUCAAGACCCCAUCUCUACUGAAAAAAAAAAAAAAGUUUUUAAUUAGCUGGGCAUAGUGACACCCACCUGUAGUCCCAGCUACUGAGGAGGCUAAGGCAGGAGGAUUGUUUGAGCCAAGGAGAUUAAGGCUGUAGUGAGCCAUGAUCAUGCCAUUGCACUCCAGCGUGGACAACAGAACAAGACACUAUUUAAAAAAAAAAAAAAAGAAAGAAAGAAAGAAAACUGAAGAAAAUGAAAUGUGUCCACAAGGCCUGGCCAAGGCAGGCAUCAGAUAUCAGUUGCCCCCAUCUUCCAUGGCUAGAGCCCGGAAGCUCCUGCAGCUCCCGGGACUGGGCUCAGCUCCGACUCCACCAGGAGCACCAGCUUCAAGGUCUUCAUGAAGCAUGUGGGAAUCUGUGGGGCUGCCAACAGCAUUCCCUUCCUAAAACUUCUAGGCAAAACCAGCCUAGCCUCUGAGCUGGCUGUCAUUAUCCAAGAAAUGACAAUGACCUCUAGAACGCUAGGCAGGACUGGCCAGGAGGAUUCCACUGUGACUUGUCCAUCGCCUAUGAAGCCCUGUGGCACACCCCAAAAUGGAAAGCAACUGAGGACCCUCAAGAGAACUGCCAUUCAGGAGCAGUCCCACCAGGGUGGGUUCCGUACACAGGUGCUUGGUGUGAUUGGAGGAACCGAGAUACUCUCUGCACCCCAAGUCUCCCACUCCUUGACUCUGAUAUGCCACAACCAGAUGUCAUCUCACCAGCAUUCAUGAGCACCUACCACUUUCCAGGCACCACGCUGAGUAUUGGGCUUGAUUCCUCUGGGUUAUAUAUUACCACCCCUAAGCGUUUUCUUUUAAAAUGCAAACACCCUCUGAGAAGGGCAAUGCAUUAGUUAGAUUGCUCACACCGCAGACUGAAUUAAUUCAGGGUAUGGGGAGUUCUUUAUUAUAAGAUAUCAGAGAAGGACUAGAUAUCUUUAGCAAACGGGGCAGCUAAAGUUCAGAGGGCAGAGGUGACUACAGAAAAAAGGACCAAGACAGCUGUAACUUUGCAUUUUUCUACAGUGGAUUUCAGUGGCCACAUCUCCUUCCUCCUUUGUCCUUAAUCAAGACAAACAUGCCCAUGCCCAUAACAAGCAGCAGCAGUCCCCAUAAGUGCAGCUGAUGAGUUGGACUCCAUAGGAGAGAGCGGCCAGGACCAUCUCCAGGAUGAGGACGCCCUGAAUCAGUGCCUACUCGCUCCCCAGCAAGUUCAGGGCUUAGAGUUCAGGUAAUUAGGCCCUUGGCAAUCUCACCUGAGCCCGCCA
rnacentral:lncRNA from 1 species